AUUGAACGCUGGCGGCAUGCCUUACACAUGCAAGUCGAACGGUAACAGGUCUUCGGAUGCUGACGAGUGGCGAACGGGUGAGUAAUACAUCGGAACGUGCCUAGUAGUGGGGGAUAACUACUCGAAAGAGUGGCUAAUACCGCAUGAGAUCUACGGAUGAAAGCAGGGGAUCGCAAGACCUUGUGCUACUAGAGCGGCCGAUGGCAGAUUAGGUAGUUGGUGGGAUAAAAGCUUACCAAGCCGACGAUCUGUAGCUGGUCUGAGAGGACGAUCGGCCACACUGGGACUGAGGCACGGCCCAGACUCCUACGGGAGGCAGCAGUGGGGAAUUUUGGACAAUGGGCGCAAGCCUGAUCCAGCAAUGCCGCGUGCAGGAUGAAGGCCUUCGGGUUGUAAACUGCUUUUGUACGGAACGAAAAGCCCUGGGUUAAUACCCUGGGGUCAUGACGGUACCGUAAGAAUAAGCACCGGCUAACUACGUGCCAGCCGCCGCCGUAACAC
rnacentral:rRNA from 1 species